GGUCUCCUCCACGCCGAGCCUCGGAGAGCAGGGGCUUUGCUUUUCCGGCUGAGGUGUUCAAUAAACAUCUCUUAAACAAAGGAGUGCGCAAGUGAGAUAAUAUAAGGUAAGUGCUUGCCACUAUACGAAUGUACAGAAAGGAAGAUGUUAUUAUUUUACUUCAGCCCCAUAUUUAAUUAUAAAGCAUUUGUGAGCAAAGCUGAUUAACACUGAUUUCUAAUUUCUAGCGUGAGACAUGACGCUUGGGAGACAAGCUGUAAAUGAGACGUGGGGCUUAUGUUUUCGGUAGGUGAGAUUUAAUGUACACAAGGGUAAGAGUAGGAAACAAAAGUAAUUCGAAGUUAAAUAUGGUCUUUUUGGUUAAAUUCUACGGGUUCUGGGAGGAGGGCAAUACCAUUUCCUGCUGAGGUGAGUUUGCUCACCCAUUGCCAUAAUCACAAUCGUAAUAAAAAUAACAUUAAUAACUACAAUUGAUCGAGCUCUUUGAGGCGGACAUCGGGUUAGGCAUUUUGGAUCCAAUUUCUCAUUUAAUCCUCACGACCAUCUUGAGGGAGCGCAUUUUACCCGUGUUUUACGGGGGACUGAAGCUUAAGGAGCAGUAACUUGCCCAGGUCACGUGGCUAGGAAGAGACAAGGUCAGGUCAGAGCCACAAGAGGGCGCUCUUCCCCUUUCUAUUCUAUGUUGUCCUGUGGUUCCCGCUUUUCCUCAGGGGCACCUUCCACAAAUGUAAAAACCCCACAUAAACAUCUUGUUUCUCUGUCUUCCUCCUCCCCAGUGUCUCUCUCUCCUCUCAGUCUGUUUGUCUCCUCUCAGUUUCUCUCUCCCUUUCCUUACUUGUUUUUUGUCUCUCUCUUCCUCCUUGUUUUCUGUUUAUUUAUCUAUUUCAGGGGAUGGGCAGCCUUGGGAAUAUGGGCUGUAGGUAGGAAGAGAACAUUUCUGGAACUGAAAAUUAUGCUGCAUCUUGUCUAACGGGAAGCAAAAUUUUUGAAUGUGGGAAUCUUGUAAAAUCUAGACGUUGGUCAUCAAUACACAUGGCAUGAAACUGUAAAACUAUGAGCAGCUGUGGUGAGUUGUGACUGGGAAGCCACAUGGGGUGUGUAUGAGCACAUGCAUUUGCAAGCUUCCCUGGAGCUUCCUCCAGGUUACUCCUGGGUUCUGCCUUUCCCUGGUUACACUUAGGAUUGAAGCCUCAUUCACCUCUGUGUAUUUGCUCAUGCUUUUCCUGUCACUGGUGUUAAUUUCUGUAGUCUCUCUGCAUGUUUAACUAAAUUCUACCUCUUUUUUUUUUUUUUUUUUGAGACAGAGUCUUGCCUGUUGCCCAGGCUGGAGUGCAGGGGUGUGAUCUCAGCUCACUGCAACUUGAGUCUCCCAGGUUCAAGCGAUUCUCCUGCCUCAGCCUCCUGAGUAGCUGGGAUUACAUACAGGUGCACACCACCACGCAGGGCUAAUUUUUUCUUUUCCUUUCUUUUUGUUUUUUUUAGACAGAAUCUCGCUCUGUUGCGCAGGCUGGAGUACAGUGGUGUGAUCCGGGCUCACUACAACCUCUGCCUCCCAGGUUCAAGCGAUUCUUCUGCCUGGGACUACAGGUGCGUGCCACCAUGCCCGGGUAACUUUUUUUUGUAUUUUUAGUAGAGAUGGGGUUUCACCAUAUUGGCCAGGCUGGUCUCGAUCUCCUGACCUUGUGAUUCGCACCCCCCCCCCGCCACCUUGGCCUCCCAAAGCGUUGAGAUUACAGGCGUGAGCCACCGCGCCGGGCCUAAUUUUUUUAUUUUUAUUUUUAGUAGAGACGGGGUUUCACUUUGUUGACCAGGCUGAUCUUGAACUCCUGGCCUCAAGUUAUCCGCCCUGCCUUGGCUUUCCAAAGUGCUGAGAUUGCAGGUGUGAGCCACUGUGCCUGGCCAAAAUUCUACUUAUUUUUUUAUAGAGGAGUAGUACAGGCUGUUUCUGACUGCCCCAUCUGUAAGUAAACAAUCUAGUUUUGAAUUGUCAAUUGAUUUAAAAGUGAUAGUUUUCAAAUCUUCAUUGAGGCAUUUUGUAUCCAUUGAUUCUUUCUGCCAGGGCACACACUCUGUCUACGUUAUGCACUGAAGCCUUUCUGUGUAUCCUUACUGGGCCUUGAUGCUGGGUAACUGCACGAUUCUGGUAACCAAACCUGGUGGCACAUCCCAAUCAGCUUUUUCAAAAUAGGGCUUUCUAGACUUUCACCUGGAGAUUCUGUCUAGAGGUGUUUGGGCUGAAGCCUGGCAACUGUGUUACAUGAACAGUUGGCCCCCAUCCCUGGGGCAUCUGCCUCUGCUGCACUGAUGCCUUCCCCAGCUCACAUCAUGGCUGCAUGGGGCCAGAGGGGGUUCCCUGUGAUGCUUGCAGAAAAGCUUGGGUCUGCUGGUAGGAGUGGAAAAUGGACUGCUGCCCACUCCAGAGUGGCUUUAAAGGACAGUGGAGAGGGAGUCUUCCUAAUGAGCAGAGCUGUGAGCAGUACCCUUGUUUGUCCAUCUUGUAUGGAGGGAGAAGGGGCCCGAGGUCGCUUACAUGGACUCCUGGGGAGUGGUGACUGAUUUGGUUGCAAGUCUGGAAAGAGCAGGAGUGGAAGAUCUGAGAGCAAGAGUCAGGGUGAGGUGUGGAUGAACCUACAGGAGUGGGCAGAGAGCACUCAGAUCUCCCUGCUGGCCAUCAAUACCCGGCUGAGGGUGAGCACAGCAGAGGAGUCGCUCAACAACCGGGUGGACAAGACGACUCGUCUGGUAGACGCCUGCCAGCCUCUGCCCUUGGUCACUCCAGUGCUCAUGUUACCAGAAAGGGG
rnacentral:lncRNA from 1 species